AGCGAACGCUGGCGGCAGGCCUAACACAUGCAAGUCGAGCGGCCGUAGCAAUACGGCAGCGGCAGACGGGAGAGUAACACGUGGGAACGCGCCCUUCGGUUCGGGAUAACUCAGGGAAACUUGGGCUAAUACCGGAUACGCCCUUACGGGGAAAGAUUUAUUGCCGAAGGAACGGCCCGCGUCCGAUUAGCUUGUUGGUGAGGUAACGGCUCACCAAGGCGACGAUCAGUAGCUGGUCUGAGAGGAUGACCAGCCUCACUGGGACUGAGACACGGCCCGGACUCCUACGGGAGGCGGCAGUGGGGAAUAUUGGACAAUGGGCGCAAGCUUGAUCCAGCCAUGCCGCGUGGGUGAUGAAGGCCCUAGGGUUGUAAAGCCCUUUCAGCGGGGAAGAUAAUGACGGUACCCGCAGAAGAAGCCCCGGCUAACUUCGUGCCAGCAGCCGCGGUAACAC
rnacentral:rRNA from 1 species